AUACGUAGGGUGCAAGCGUUAAUCGGAAUUACUGGGCGUAAAGCGUGCGCAGGCGGUUUUGUAAGACAGGGGUGAAAUCCCCGGGCUCAACCUGGGAACUGCCAUUGUGACUGCAAGGCUGGAGUGCGGCAGAGGGGGAUGGAAUUCCGCGUGUAGCAGUGAAAUGCGUAGAUAUGCGGAGGAACACCGAUGGCGAAGGCAAUCCCCUGGGCCUGCACUGGCGCUCAUGCACGAAAGCGUGGGGAGCAAACAGGAUUAGAUACCCUGGUAGUCCACGCCCUAAACGAUGUCAACUGGUUGUUGGGGAUUUAUUUUCUCAGUAACGAAGCUAACGCGUGAAGUUGACCGCCUGGGGAGUACGGCCGCAAGGUUAAAACUCAAAGGAAUUGACGGGG
rnacentral:rRNA from 1 species